rnacentral:rRNA from 1 species
UGGAUGAUGUGAUUAAUUCGAUGCAAACGCGAAAAACCUUACCUACCCUUGACAUGUCUGGAACCUUGGUGAGAGCCGAGGGUGCCUUCGGGAGCCAGAACACAGGUGCUGCAUGGCUGUCGUCAGUUCGUGUCGUGAGAUGUUGGGUUAAGUCCCGCAACGAGCGCAACCCUUGUCCUGUGUUGCUACCCCGCAAGGGGAGGACUCUCAGGAGACUGCCGUGGAUAACACGGAGGAAGGUGGGACGACGUCAAGUCAUCAUGGCCUUUAUGUCCAGGGCUACACACGUGAUACAAUGGUGCAGACAGAAGGUUGCAAGACCGUAAGGUGGAGCCAAUCCCCAAACUGCACCCUAGUUCAGAUUGAGGGCUGCAAUUCGCCCUCAUGAAGCUGGAAUCGCUAGUAAUCGCAGAUCAGCAGGCUGCGGUGAAUACGUUCCCGGGCCUU